GCAGGGUUGCCACCCAGUAAUCAGCACAAGUUAGAAUGUGGGCAACUCGGCAGUCAUUGCGCAGGCACUUUGGCGACUCAAGAUAACCUCGGGCCGAUCGCACGUCCACGUGACGGAUGUCUGCCCUAUCAACUUUCGAUGAUACUUUCUGUGCCUACCAUGGUGACCACGGGUAAUGGGGAAUCAGGGUUCAAUUCUGGAGUGGGAGCCUGAAAAAUGGCUACCACAUCCAAGGAAGGCAGCAGGCGUGCAAAUUACCCACUCCCGACGCGGGGACGUAGUGAC